UCGGGUAUGGUGUAACGGCUAACAUUGCCGCCUCUCAAACCGCGAUUCGGGGAGUUCAUCCCUCAGUCAGAGUGGCCGCGGCAGCUCGGGGUUCGAUUCCCCGUACCCGAA
rnacentral:tRNA from 1 species